rnacentral:rRNA from 1 species
UACGGAGGGGGCUAGCGUUGUUCGGAAUUACUGGGCGUAAAGCGCACGUAGGCGGCUUUGUAAGUUAGAGGUGAAAGCCCGGGGCUCAACUCCGGAAUUGCCUUUAAGACUGCAUCGCUUGAACAUCGGAGAGGUGAGUGGAAUUCCGAGUGUAGAGGUGAAAUUCGUAGAUAUUCGGAAGAACACCAGUGGCGAAGGCGACUCACUGGACGAUUGUUGACGCUGAGGUGCGAAAGCGUGGGGAGCAAACAGG